GUUGGGAGCUGACCCUGCACACCCUGCGAUGUCUUAGAGCAGGGCCAUGGUGCACUGUGGAGCAGAGGCCAGUCUUUUACCCAGUCCAGUCUCCCUAAUUAGUGCAUCCUAUCAACCUGAGAUUGGAGUCAGGCUGACAGGAAGGCUCAACAGGCCUGCCCCAGCUGAGGCAUGGCAUGUGGAUUGGGUAGCUGUCAAGAGAGAAAGCUGGCACCUGAUGAGCUGUAGCGCACAGGUGAGCACAUUCACCUUGUGGUGAGUGAGCUCCCGUGUGCCUCGUGAGCAUCCGCACUAGCAGUGCCGGUGAGUGUUCUGGGAGUGUUCCGGUGCAGUGCAGCCUUAAAUCCUGAGUAAAGAAUAUCCUGAGAGAGCACAAGAAAGAUACCAUGUAGUAGUAUUCAGUCUUCAGAGUUGGUGGUCUGAACUUGAAAUUUUUCAGUUAUUCUACAUCAAGUCCUGAACUACUGGUUAGUGUGAAGAAGGAAGGAGCAGGACGUCUGCUGAGGCUAGAAGCAGUGAGGCUGUCACUAGCAGGCUGGGGACCUGAGAAGCACUGUGGAUGGGCGGAAGCAGCUGCACUAGGGACCUCAGAAGUGGACACCUGGAGAAGACACAUGUCCAGGGCACUUGGGAGCCAACAGAAAUUGAUCUUAGCUGGGGAUUAGAUGGAUGCUUAUUCUCUCUCUCUCUCUCUCUCUCUCUCUCUCUCUCUCUCUCUCUCUCUCUCUCUCUCCCCCUCUCUCCCUCUCUCUCCCCCUCUCUCUCCCUCUCUCUCCCCCUCUCUCUCCCCCUCUCUCUCCCCCUCUCUCUCUCCCUCUCUCUCCCCCUCUCUCUCCCCCUCUCUCUCCC
rnacentral:lncRNA from 1 species